AUGCUCAGAUUACACAAAACACGCAAAAAAUAUCUAAAGCUGAAACAGUAUCGGAUUCUCCCAACCCCCCAACCAAACAAAACGAAACUGUGUCGCCGACUCUGCACAACCAGAACUACCAACCGAGCAAGAGCCAAUACCACAAAUAUAACAGUCAAUAAGCAUACAUUAUGUCAGAUUAGAACCCAAGAACAGCAUAUACUAGUACCACAACAGAGAGAACCGGCAGGGUCGACAAACCGGCAACCAACAACAGACUUUCUUCAACAAACACCUGACUCCACGCAUCCAAAACCGCACUGCAACCAGUCCUCAGACUCCCAGACUGCUAAAAGACAACUCUCACUCCCUCGAUCGACAUAG